AUUGAACGCUGGCGGCAGGCCUAACACAUGCAAGUCGAGCGGAUGAAGGGAGCUUGCUCCUGGAUUCAGCGGCGGACGGGUGAGUAAUGCCUAGGAAUCUGCCUGGUAGUGGGGGAUAACGUCCGGAAACGGGCGCUAAUACCGCAUACGUCCUGAGGGAGAAAGUGGGGGAUCUUCGGACCUCACGCUAUCAGAUGAGCCUAGGUCGGAUUAGCUAGUUGGUGGGGUAAAGGCCUACCAAGGCGACGAUCCGUAACUGGUCUGAGAGGAUGAUCAGUCACACUGGAACUGAGACACGGUCCAGACUCCUACGGGGAGCAGCAGUGGGGAAUAUUGGACAAUGGACGAGUGCCUGAUCCAGCCAUGCCGCGUGUGUGAAGAAGGUCUUCGGAUUGUAAAGCACUUUAAGUUGGGAGGAAGGGCAGUAAGUUAAUACCUUGCUGUUUUGACGUUACCAACAGAAUAAGCACCGGCUAACUUCGUG
rnacentral:rRNA from 1 species